rnacentral:rRNA from 1 species
GAUGAACGCUGGCGGCGUGCCUAAUACAUGCAAGUCGAGCGAACGGACGAGAAGCUUGCUUCUCUGAUGUUAGCGGCGGACGGGUGAGUAACACGUGGAUAACCUACCUAUAAGACUGGGAUAACUUCGGGAAACCGGAUCUAAUACCGGAUGAUAUUUUGAACCGCAUGGUUCAAAAGUGAAAGACGGUCUUGCUGUCACUUAUAGAUGGAUCCGCGCUGCAUUAGCUAGUUGGUAAGGUAACGGCUUACCAAGGCAACGAUGCAUAGCCGACCUGAGAGGGUGAUCGCCCACACUGGAACUGAGACACGGUCCAGCCUCCUCCGGGAGGAAGAAGUAGGGAAUCUUCCGCAAUGGGCGAAAGCCUGACGGAGCAACGCCGCGUGAGUGAUGAAGGUCUUCGGAUCGUAAAACUCUGUUAUUAGGGAAGAACAUAUGUGUAAGUAACUGUGCACAUCUUGACGGUACCUAAUCAGAAAGCCACGGCUAACUACGUG